GAUGAACGCUGGCGGCGUGCCUAAUACAUGCAAGUCGAGCGAACAGACGAGGAGCUUGCUCCUCUGACGUUAGCGGCGGACGGGGGAGUAACACGUGGCUAACCUACCUAUAAGACUGGGAUAACUUCGGGAAACCGGAGCUAAUACCGGAUAAUAUAUUGAACCGCAUGGUUCAAUAGUGAAAGACGGUUUUGCUGUCACUUAUAGAUGGAUCCGCGCCGCAUUAGCUAGUUGGUAAGGUAACGGCUUACCAAGGCAACGAUGCGUAGCCGACCUGAGAGGGUGAUCGGCCACACUGGAACUGAGACACGGUCCAGACUCCUACGGGAGGCAGCAGUAGGGAAUCUUCCGCAAAGGGCGAAAGCCUGACGGAGCAACGCCGCGUGAGUGAUGAAGGUCUUCGGAUCGUAAAACUCUGUUAUUAGGGAAGAACAAAUGUGUAAGUAACUAUGCACGUCUUGACGGUACCUAAUCAGAAAGCCACGGCUAACUACGUG
rnacentral:rRNA from 1 species